rnacentral:tRNA from 2 species
GGGGAUAUAGCUCAGUUGGUUAGAGUGCUGGUCUGUCACGCCAGAAGUCGCGGGUUCGAACCCCGUUAUCCCCG